CCGCCUCUUUUUUCCCGGGCACGUGACGGGGAGCUUUCCCUCCGGGCUGGAAGCGCCAGGGCGGGGCGGGCUUGGGAGGGAGAGCGCGCGCGCGCGGGCUUGUUGUUUGUGUGGGGCUGCGGCGCCUGUGCGCCCUCCUUCCUUCUGUGUUGCCAUUCGUCACAAUCGCAGCACCAAACCAUAGCCUGCCGCUGCCAUGGGUCCUGUUCAUGAUGGCCCCCCGCAUGUACCAAAAGCCUUUGCACACCUCCCAACAAAGGCUUCCCUCAGGCAGGAAGCAGCCAGGCUUGGAAUAUGCAAGGCCAUUCAAUGCUAAUUAAGAAACAUCCAAGGAAACACACUUUACAGUUCCAAAUACAGUGAUGAACUAUAUAUGCUGAAAGAGUUAAAUAUGAAGAACAACUUUUGCUGAGAAAAAUCUGCAUGUUGUCCAGCAGGCAGGUCUACCCAGCCAAUUUUAAAUAAUGAAAUUUAAUUUUAUACUCCA